rnacentral:rRNA from 1 species
UGAGGAACAUGACCUUCGGCGGGGGAUAGCCGGCCCAACGGCCGGGUAAUACCGCGUACGACCACUCGGGGACAUCCCUAGGUGGUGAAAGCAGCAAUGCGCCGAUGGAGUGCCUCGCGGCCUAUCAGCUAGUUGGUGAGGUAACGGCUCACCAAGGCGACGACGGGUAGCUGGUCUGAGAGGAUGGCCAGCCACAUUGGGACUGAGACACGGCCCAGGCCUCCGUACGGGGAGCAG